ensembl:lncRNA
UUGCCAGUUGGGAUUUAUUUUUAGUAGCAAUGCACUAGAUAAAGUCAUAAGAUAAUGGAGUUGUCACAGUAAUAUCACAAUUAAUUAGCAUUAUCUAUGUUACUUUCCAUUUGUAUCUAUGUACAAAAAGAUUCUAACCUUUAAAUUUCACACUGCUUUUUUGUCCCCCUGCAUCAAACCAUUUAAAGAAAAAUAUCUUUAAAGAUUUAUUUAAAACCCAUUGAAGCGCGGCAGCAACAAAGCAUCAUCUCAGGUUGAGUUUUGUCACAAGGGAAACUGAAAACUAUUUAACUCUUUGUUAGUUUGUUUUACCUUGUUGUUCAUCAAGCACUGCAGAAUUUAAACCCAUUUAGCCAUGAGUAAACCCAGUAUAGUUGACACAAAGCAACUUUUACACAACCCUCCUUGCUAUAUUUUUUAAUUGACAACACUGAAGAAAAAAAACAAAACAAUCAAGUAAAUCCAGUUUAUUCUGUAGUGCUUUGUGUGCAACAUUCACUGUUAUUGUUAAUCAUGAGAACAUGGCAAAUACAAAAUGCAACAAAGCCAUUUCAUGGUUUCAUCAAGUUGAUUAUUCAGUUUUGACCAGCGUUUAAAAUACCUAAGGUAGAUGAUGAGGUGGGAUAAGGGGAAAAAAAAAAAAAAAAAAAAUCAUACAAAAAAGUUGUUCUGUCCAGUCAAGGCUCCACUGUGAAGCUGAUGGCAACAAUUCUGCCAAAGACCCGUCAAACACCAUGUUUUGCCACAAUGAGAACUAACCACAGUUAUCAAUUUCAAAUCUUUGACUUGAAGUUUAAUACAAGUGCUUUCUUCAUCCUUAUAGCCAGUGUAUGUCAAAGAAAUUAGCAAAGAGAUAAUGGAUGACUAGCUUAAAAUGUGAGAACAGACCCCUGUUGUGGGGGAAGAAAAAAAAUUCAUACAGUGAAACAGGAGGGGCAGUUUUUAUAAAACAUACAAAACACAGUAAACUAAAUGUACCUUUACUUUUAAUACAUCCACCCAGAGCUAUAAACGUAAGAUGGAAAUAUUUGAUGUUGAUUAGCAAAGGACAUUAUGAGCAGCCUUUACAAGGAAAAAAAGAUCUUAAAAUACUGUAUAUGUCUUACCUUGAUUUGUUACAAAUAUAAUGCUUGAAUGGUUUUUCAAAGUAUGCAGUAUAAUUUAAACAACAGAAAACAGUUCUUACAGCAUUUCAAACUUGUGCACUACAAAAAAAACAAGACAAGAAAACACUCGUCAAAACCUGCAGCACAAAUAUAGAAAAAUGAGCUACAGAUUUUGU